GAUGAACGCUGGCGGCGUGCCUAAUACAUGCAAGUCGAGCGAACGGACGAGAAGCUUGCUUCUCUGAUGUUAGCGGCGGACGGGUGAGUAACACGUGGAUAACCUACCUAUAAGACUGGGAUAACUUCGGGAAACCGGAGCUAAUACCGGAUAAUAUUUUGAACCGCAUGGUUCAAAAGUGAGAGACGGUCUUGCUGCCACUUAUAGAUGGAUCCGCGCUGCAUUAGCUAGUUGGUAAGGUAACGGCUUACCAAGGCAACGAUGCAUAGCCGACCUGAGAGGGUGAUCGGCCACACUGGAACUGAGACACGGUCCAGACUCCUACGGGAGGCAGCAGUAGGGAAUCUUCCGCAAUGGGCGAAAGCCUGACGGAGCAACGCCGCGUGAGUGAUGAAGGUCUUCGGAUCGUAAAACUCUGUUAUUAGGGAAGAACAUAUGUGUAAGUAACUGUGCACAUCUUGACGGUACCUAAUCAGAAAGCCACGGCUAACUACGUG
rnacentral:rRNA from 1 species